GUCAAGGUGACCGAGCGGUCUAAGGCGCUUCGUUCAGGUCGCAGUCCACUCUGUGGGCGUGAGUUCGAAUCCCAACCUUGACA
rnacentral:tRNA from 1 species